AGCUUGCUCUGUGGAUCAGUGGCGAACGGGUGAGUAACACGUGAGCAACCUGCCCCGGACUCUGGGAUAAGCGCUGGAAACGGCGUCUAAUACUGGAUACGAGCAGCGGAGGCAUCUCCAGCUGCUGGAAAGAUUUUUUGGUCUGGGAUGGGCUCGCGGCCUAUCAGCUUGUUGGUGAGGUAAUGGCUCACCAAGGCGUCGACGGGUAGCCGGCCUGAGAGGGUGACCGGCCACACUGGGACUGAGACACGGCCCAGACUCCUACGGGAGGCAGCAGUGGGGAAUAUUGCACAAUGGGCGGAAGCCUGAUGCAGCAACGCCGCGUGAGGGACGACGGCCUUCGGGUUGUAAACCUCUUUUAGCAAGGAAGAAGCGAAAGUGACGGUACUUGCAGAAAAAGCGCCGGCUAACUACGUGCCAGCAGCCGCGGUAAUACGUAGGGCGCAAGCGUUAUCCGGAAUUAUUGGGCGUAAAGAGCUCGUAGGCGGUUUGUCGCGUCUGCUGUGAAAACCCGAGGCUCAACCUCGGGCCUGCAGUGGGUACGGGCAGACUAGAGUGCGGUAGGGGAGAUUGGAAUUCCUGGUGUAGCGGUGGAAUGCGCAGAUAUCAGGAGGAACACCGAUGGCGAAGGCAGAUCUCUGGGCCGUAACUGACGCUGAGGAGCGAAAGGGUGGGGAGCAAACAGGC
rnacentral:rRNA from 1 species